GGGCCUGUAGCUCAGUGGGAGAGCACCUGAUUCGCAUUCAGGGGGUCAAGGGUUCAAAUCCCUUCAGGUCCACCA
rnacentral:tRNA from 1 species